GAUGAAGAACGCAGCAAAAUGCGAUAAGUAAUGUGAAUUGCAGAAUUCAGUGAAUCAUCGAAUCUUUGAACGCACCUUGCGCCCUUUGGACAUUCCGAAGGGCAUGCCUGUUUGAGUAUCAUGAACACCUCAACUCUCACGGCUUGUCCGUGAUGAGCUUGGACUUUGGGGGUCUUGCCGGCCUGUGGUCGGCUCCUCUCAAAUGGAUCAGCUUGCCAGUGUUUGGUGGCAUCACAGGUGUGAUAACUAUCUGCGCUUGUGGUUUUCCAUCAGAUAACCUUCAGUGAUAUGGAGGUUCGCUGGAGCUCACAAAUGUCUCUCCUUAGUGAGGACAGCUCUUUGAACGUUUGAUCUCAAAUCAGGUAGGACUACCCGCUGAACUUAAGCAUAUCAAUAAGCGGAGGA
rnacentral:misc_RNA from 1 species